AUGGGCCGCCGUUCCAAAAUCUACAUUCAAGUCUACACCUACGGUUCAUAAAGGAGGAAUCCUUCACGUUCAGUGUGCUGUGUCCUGUGCACUUUCCAAUACCCAAGAUCACCAGGAACUCCUAACUCAUUGUUUGAACAAGUUCCCUUGCGCAUCAAGCAUCACCUAAGCUGUUGGUGAUGUGUACACCAGAGGGAGUCAGAGGAGCAGCACAGAGAGACCAUCACGAAAGAAGCAGUUCUAGAACAAGCCAGCCAGUGAUGAAAGACAAAUCUUCUAGCUUCACAGGUUAAAGCAAGGCUGUGUUUUGUAUAAUGGGUAGAGGUAUCUCUGAAACACUCUCAGUCAUUUAGCUUUUCAAUUACUUUUAGAGAAGUUUCAUCAUUGGAGAGAGAGUGGAUGGUCUCCUGAGCAGCCGAUUGCGUGUAUACCACAACCCUUUAAUGCUUCAGCAACAGCGCCUCAUUGGUACAUCAGCUACAUCUACCUCUUAACCCAGAAGUCAGUUAAUGCAUGAAAUGUACAUGUGGGGGUAACUAUCCUGUACAUACCUCAUAAUUACCCAUUAUCACUAUGGCCUGGUA